rnacentral:lncRNA from 1 species
CUAAAAUGGCUGGGGUGUUGCAAGGCUGAGGCUCAGCCACGUAAUGGAAACUCAGGCCGUCAGAAACGCCAUUGUAACCCCCCUUCAAAAAGCACUAACGAGUACCUACCGGGCUCCAGAAAGCCUUAAAAGGUACUCAAGAAUUAUCAAGCAAGUCCCAAGUAAUGGCUCUGAGUUUUUGUGAACUGUUGGAGGGUCUACUUCUAUGUGAUUUUCACCUAAAUUUUGAGCUCAAAUCUACUUGCUAAUAAGUCUUAAAUAUUUCUGGAUACAUAGUUUACAGACAAGUUGCAUAAGCUUUUAGAAAAAUCUAGAAAGGCUUCUAAACGAAAUUCUAUUUUUAACACUUCCGAGGGACUAUUUUUGCUUCCCUCACAAAGACGGCGGAGGGUUAUUAAAUUCAGCGGGGUGAGUUGUCCUUGGUCUAUAAAUACGCGGCUCCGGACGCAGCGGCAGGCAUUCAGGCAGCGAGCGCAGAGGUGGCUGGAGAGGGAGGAGGAGCUGCUUAAGGAAACCGCAGAUAAGUUGCUUUGUUAGAAAUGAUAGAAGUUAGUACAAUUCUUUAGGAGAUGUAAAUAGCGAGAAUAUUUAAGUUAAUGCUUAGCAUUAAGUUUUUAAAGUAGUUUCGAUAAUAAGAUCUUGCCGAAGGGAAAAUAAUGAAGACUGACUUGAAAAGUAGUUUGAGAAAGGAGGAGAGAAGAAAAAAGAUAUUUCUAGAAUAUGAGGGAGGUUAAGAGAUGAAGCUUAGUAAUGGAGUGAGAUAAUUUUAAAUAGCUGAAAGGACUGCGAAGUCCGAAAUCAAAACGGCAUUAAAUUGAAGAGCAGCGUUUUAGAUUAACUUUAAAACGCAGAUGACGUAAAUAGAACCUAAACGUUUUAGAAAAUGAGGUUUUAGAUGACGAAAAUAUUUUAAACGCCGUCUCUUAAAAAGAUUAAAGGUGAUUUAAGAGCGAGACCUUCAUAUUCGUGGCGCAGGAAAGGUGAUUUGAAGCCUAGUUGGUCUUAUGGCAUUAUUUGCUAAAAAUUGAUGGAAAUAGUAAUUGGGAGUGGCAGGAUAAAAAUUUGGAGAAAGAAGAUUAGAAAUUAGAAGUGGAAAACACAGAAGACAGAAGUACAGGAAGGUGAAGAAAAGACUUAGAAGAUAGGAAAAAUAGAAGAUAAGACGCCUCUAGAAGACAGAAAAACUAAUUUCAAAGCCAAAAGACUUUUUUCAGAUAACGUCUUCUGAGUCAUAACCAGCCUGGCAAUAUGAUGGCCUAGAUGGAGAGGGAACAGCUCCUUGGUGAAUGAUAAGUAAAGGCAGAAAAGAUUAUAUUUCAUAUCUCCAUUGGGGGAAAAGCGUAACCCUGAGAUCCUUACUACUGAUGAACACAUUGUCUGCAUAUGUCAAAAAAAAAUUGAGCCAAUGAAAACUACCAAUUUAAAGUUAAUGGAAUCUACCAAUUUAAAGUUAAUGGAAUCUACCAUUUUAAAGUUAAUGGAAUCUACCAAUUUAAAGUUAAUGGAAUCCACCAUUUUAAAGUUAAUGGAAUCUACUAUUUUAAAGUUAAUGCUUUAUCAAGCUUAUACCUACAAAAGUAACGAAUUGAUGAGAAAUACAAUGAAGAUCAAAUGUCCAUCUCCAAUUACUGCUUUUACAAAAGCAGAAUAAAAAAGCGAAAUGAAAUGAAAAUGAUACUACAUUAAUCCUGGAAUAAAAGAAGCUCAAGUAAUUCAGAGAUGAGUGGGAUCAAGUGGAUUGAGAGGAAGCUGUGCUGUUGCCAAUCUUUCGUUUACCUCAGACAGGUUUCUCUUCAUUAUCAGAAGAGUUGCUUCAUUCCAUCUGGGAGCAGAAAACAGCAGGCAACUGUUAACAGAUAAGUUUAACUUGCAUCUGCAGUAUUGCAUGUUAGGGAUAAGUGCUUAUUUUUAUUAAGAAGUUCUUAAAUAUUGAACUUGGCCAUUUUUCCUGAUCCCUUCCCUAGGGGAUUCCAGGAUUAUGAGGAAUUUUCCCGUCUAGCCUUUUUAAAAUUAGACACAACUCGUGCCUGUGGGCUUCCAUGAUGGGCUAGCACACCUCACUCAGAGAAACUUUGUCUUCGAACACUCUUUAAUGGACAAGAAAGAUCAGGAAUUGAGCGGAAGAACGAACUUAACUUUCUUAAGGCAGGAAAGACAAAUUUUAUCCUUCGUAAAGUGAUGAGCAUUUUAAUAAUUCCAGGCAUAUGGCAAUAGAGGCCCUCUAAAUAAGGAAUAAAUACUACUUAGACAGGUGGGAGAUUAUGAUCAGAAUAACAGGUAACUACACCUACCCUGUUCUGGACAGGAGUCUAAAUUGAGCCUUGUUACACGAGAGUAAUGAUUCUGUCACGUUUCCAAAGUUUGCAUGUUAACUUUAAAUGCUUAUAAACCAUCUCAUCUAGUGUUAGCCAGUGUUUGUACUAUUAGGCACUUGGGGGUCUUGUGGGUUUUUAAAGAAUUUUCCUUUGCAGAAGCUUCAUUUCAUCCUUCAUGAAGCUGUUCAGAAUAUUGACUUGCAUAUAAGCGCUUGGCUCUGCCUUCUAUUCUCCUAGUGAGUGUGUGAGAGACCUUGCAGUGAGUUUAUCAGCAUACUUGAGUACAUUUUUUCCCCCUGAUUUUGGAGGGAAGGGAGGAGGGGGGUGGGGCUUACUUGUUUUAGUUUUUUUUUGCAGACUACACAGAGAACGCAGUUGUCUUGACCUCAGGUCUGUCUGUUCUGUUGGCAAGUAAUAACGCAGUACUGUUCUGAUCUGCUGCUAUUAGAAUGCAUUGUGAAACGACUGGAGUAUGAUUAAAAGUUGUGUUUUCCCCCACUGCUUGGAGUAGUGAUUGUUGAAGGAAAAUCCAGCUGAGUGAUAAAGGCUGAGUGUUGAGGAAAUUUCUGCAGCUUUAAGCAUUCAUGUUUGUGAUUGAAGCCAAGUACCUUUUGCUGUGCUUAGGUAAAAUGCUUUUUUGUUCACUUCUGGUAGGGGGGUGGGGAGGGCACUGAAGCCUUUAGUCUUUUCCAGAUGCAACCUUAAAAUCAGAGUCAAGAAAUAAAUUCCAAACAAGCCACAGUCUUCAGGAAAUUUAACUGGCAAGUGGAAAUGUUGAAGAGUUCAGUGGUCUUAGUGUAUUGUCUUUGUGGGUUUCUCUCUCCCCUCCCUUCGUGUUAAUUCUUACACACAGGAACAUUCAAAACAGCAGACGUACACGAAGGGCCAGAGAAGCCAGACCCAGUAAGGAAAAAUAGCUUAUUUACUUUAAACAAAGAUUCCAUUUUAAAUGUGGGGAUUGGGAACCACUAGUUCUUUCAGAUGGUAUUCUUCAGACUAUAAAAGGAGCUUCCAGUUGAAUUCACCAGUGGACAAAAUGAGGACAACAGGUGAACAAGCUUUUUCUAUGUUUACAUAUUAAGCCAGAUCCGUUGGGUAAAUCCUUUAGUGUUACAGACUUGCAGCUUUAUGCUGGAGUAGAUAGCAUGUGAGCAGGUUGGUUGUUGGCCUGGGGGUGGAGGGGUGAGGUGGGCGCUAAGCCUUUUUUUAAGAUUUUUCAGGUACCCCUCACUAAAGGCACCGAAGGCUUAAAGUAGGACAACCACGCAGCCUUCCUGUGGCAAGAGAGACAACAAAGCGCUAUUACACUAAGGUCACUGCAAAUGGCGUCGGCCUCAUAACGCGCCCCGUCUUCUCGUAGACCUCUGAGGACUUGCCUCAGCGCCCUUGGCAGACAUGCACUGAGGCUCUUUGGGCCUGAAGCAUCCAGAGGAAUGCUUGAGUACCUUGUAUACCCCUGGGCUUGUCCUAACCCAUAAGCUGUUUUUAUAGCAGCUGUUACUAAAGCCCAAACUUCAAGUGAUGCUUGAAGGGGAGGGAAAGGGGGAAAGCGGGCAACCACUUUUCCCUAGCUUUUCCAGAAGCCUGUUAAAAGCAAGGUCUCCCCACAAGUGACUUCUCUGCCACAUCGCCACCCCCUGCCUUUGGCCUAGCGCAGACCCUUCACCCCUCACCUCGAUGCUGCCGGUAGCUUGGAUCCUUGUGGGCAUGAUCCAUUGUCAGUUUCAAGGUAACAGUGGUGCGAGGUCUUCCGGUGGGUUGCACUACUAGAAAAGGCCAUUAACGUGCUUGCAAAUGGUUAAGGUUAUUAAAACCACAACUAAAACCUCUGAUGUUUUAAGUGUACAAAUUUAAACCAGUGAAUGGAGAGCAAUGUUUAAGAACUGUAAUGUUGGGUGGGAAGAUAGAACGUAAAAACUGAAGGAGAUAGGCAUUUUAUUUCAGUGGUUGAGAGGGCGUUGGGUGGGAUUGCAAAAACUCUCUGCUAAGACUUUUUCAGGUGAACAUAACAGACUUGGCCAAGCUAGCAGCUUAGCUGAAGCAGAUUCUCCAGCAGUGCCCUUCCAUAGGGUUGUAAAAGGUUUUUCUUUUCCUGAGAAAACAAAAUCUUUUGUUUUCUCAGGUUUUGCUUUUUGGCCUUUUCCUAGCUUAAAAAAAAAAAGCAAAAGAUGCUGGUGGUUGGCACUCCUGGUUUCCAGGACGGGGUUCGAAUCCCUGCGGCGUCUGUGCUUGACUGUACCCUCUGCCUUCAGGACUCUCCUUUCCGUUUCCCUCCUCCUGUUCAGGAGGCGGCUCUGGAGUCGGGGGAGGGGCAAGCUGCCAGUGGAGGAGUGUCAGCUCGGCUGAAUUGUCAGAGCCUGGAGUCCGUUUGCAUUCACAUGGAAACCGGAAAACCUCAUAUAACUGCCCUGUCUUUCGUUUUCAGGUGUUUCUUGUGCAUCUGGCAUUUAGAGAAGCCUCACUCCUAAAACCUUAAGAUUUCGUAUUAAUAAAAAUUGAAAAGCUC